GGACUAACUAAGCUCAAAAGAUUCGUCUCGUCAAUUCCGACCAAACUGUACAAUUAGUUUUAAUUUUUAUCUACAUUUAGUAUUUUAUACAUACGUAUAAAGAUUCGAUGUAACGGAGAAUCUGAAAAAUUUUGCAAAAUUUUUCAGGAACUAAACAAGGCCUAGCAGAAAGAGACCUAGGCGCUAGGCGGCAGCACGCAACAGGCAGGCUAUUGGGCUGGCACCAGGGCCGAGAGCGAGCGAGCGACUACGAUUUACUUUGACGCUUUUUAGUAGUAGAAAAACCAAUUUUUUUAAGAUUUUUUAUUACAUCGAAUCUUACAGCACAUGCAUAAAACAUUAAAUAUAGACGAAAACAAAAACUAAUUGUAUAGUUUAUCUGUAAAUCGUGAGAUGAAUCUUUUUAGCCUAGUUCGUCCAUAAUUUGAUAAUAAUUACUAAAUAAAAACAAAAAUGCGAUAAUACCCAAAACAAAAAAAAUCAAAACUAAACAAGGCCUAAGCUUUGCCUCCUCCACCCGAUGGUGGGCUGUAUUUCGCCUCCCCUUGCAUGCCUAGGUGCCGAUUCUAGCCAACACCAAACUUUUGUGGACUCUAUUGGUAGUACGUUGCUUGAUGCCGUGAAAAAUACCAUGUAGUGGAUCGAAUUCCAAGAUCGGAUUCCAAAUCAAAACACAUGGUAUUGAAGAUAUAAAGUUCUAAUUCCCUAAUUCCAAGAUUAAAACCAACACCAAACAAGAUGUAAUGGUUUUUUCAUGCAUAUGUGCAUGUUCUUUAUCCAAAAAUCCUCCCAAAAUCCUAAAGUCUGACAUGCUUUUAAACUUGUAAUUAGAGGAAACAUCAACAAAAAUUCUUAGUCUU
rnacentral:lncRNA from 1 species